GAUCAGUGGCUCAGGACGAACGCUGGGCGGCGUGCCUAACACAUGCAAGUCGAGCGGGGUCCAUCCAGUGGCAACACUGGGGAAGACCUAGCGGCGAACGGGUGAGUAACACGUGAGAAACCUGCCCUGAAGUCUGGGAUAACCCGAGGAAACUCGAGCUAAUACCGGAUGCCCCCACCGAGUCGCAUGGCUUGGUGAGGAAAGAUUCAUCACUUCAGGAGGGUCUCGCGGCCUAUCAGCUAGUUGGCGGGGUAACGGCCCACCAAGGCAUCGACGGGUAGCUGGUCUGAGAGGACGAUCAGCCACACUGGGACUGAGACACGGCCCAGACUCCUACGGAAGGCAGCAGUGGGGAAUAUUGCGCAAUGGGCGAAAGCCUGACGCAGCAACGCCGCGUGCGGGAUGACGGCCUUCGGGUUGUAAACCGCUUUCAGUGGGGACGAAAACAGACGGUACCCACAGAAGAAGCCCCGGCCAACUACGUG
rnacentral:rRNA from 1 species